rnacentral:rRNA from 1 species
UACGUAGGGGGCAAGCGUUGUCCGGAGUUACUGGGCGUAAAGCGCACGCAGGCGGUCGAUUAAGUUUGGAGUGACAGUUGGUGGCUUAACUGCCAAAGUGCUUCGAAAACUGAUCGACUUGAGGGCUUCAGAGGGACACGGAAUUCCGGGUGGAAUGGUGAAAUGCGUAGAGAUCCGGAGGAACACCAAAGGCGAAGGCAGUGUCCUGGGGAGUACCUGACGCUCAGGUGCGAAAGCCAGGGGAGCGAACGGG